GUGUUGUAUGAAAGCAGAGAAGGCUAGCACUCCCCUUGAUCAGGCUAGAAGAGGCUUUGGUUUGCAACAUGUAUGCGAUUAAGGCAUUGCCCCCUGCUUUGUGGCAUUGAACCUACAACAGUCUUUUUU